rnacentral:misc_RNA from 1 species
UUUACACAAGGAGCAUGAGAUAAUUGCAAUGAAAUGGUUGUACCCAAUUUAGAUUGAUCAAGGCCUGUAUUUUCCCAGUUGGAUCAAACUGCACUGGCUAUCAGCAUGAAUGUUCUGCUACUUCUUUCAAAAAGUUUUUAUAAUAUAUGCAUAUAUGUUCUGUUGAUUGUAUAUCUUUUUUGCAUGAUUGCAUUUACUCCCUCAUUUUCCUUGU